rnacentral:rRNA from 1 species
AUUCCAGCUCCAAUAGCGUAUAUUAAAGUUGUUGCAGUUAAAAAGCUCGUAGUUGGAUUUGUGGCGGUGUGGGCGGCCUAGCACUUAGUGCCAGCGCUCUGCCUGCGCCGCCAUCUUUGGGUGGAACCUGUGUGGCAUUAGGUUGUCGUGCAGGGGAUGCCCAUCUUUUACUGUGAAAAAAUUAGAGUGUUCAAAGCAGGCUUAUGCCGUUGAAUAUAUUAGCAUGGAAUAAUGAGAUAGGACCUUGGUACUAUUUUGUUGGUUUGCGCACCAAGGUAAUGAUUAAUAGGGACAGUUGGGGGUAUUUGUAUUCCAUUGUCAGAGGUGAAAUUCUUGGAUUUUUGGAAGACAAACUACUGCGAAAGCAUUUACCAAGGAUGUUUUC